rnacentral:rRNA from 1 species
CGUGGGUAACCUGCCCAAGAGAUCGGGAUAACACCUGGAAACAGAUGCUAAUACCGGAUAACAACAGAUGAUGCCUAUCAACUGUUUAAAAGAUGGUUCUGCUAUCACUCUUGGAUGGACCUGCGGUGCAUUAGCUAGUUGGUAGGGUAACGGCCUACCAAGGCGAUGAUGCAUAGCCGAGUUGAGAGGCUUAUCGGCCACAUUGGGACUGAGACACGGCCCAAACUCCUACGGGAGGCAGCAGCC